rnacentral:tRNA from 1 species
GGUGAAAUGGCUGAGCUUUAGGCGGUAAAUUGUAAAUUUACUUACGAAAUUAUUUCUUUCACCA